rnacentral:lncRNA from 1 species
UCGUCUACUAGUUCAUGCCAAACGGUUCUCUCGACCACCACCUCUCGGCCUCGUCCUCGUCUGCCGCCUCGCAAGAGAUCUUCUCAACCUGGGAGACACGACACUCAAUCGCGCUGGGGAUUGCCAAAGGAUUGACGUACCUCCACGAGAAGCGUGACGAGCGCAUCGUCCACUGCGAUAUCAAGCCACAAAACGUGCUGCUGGACGAGAGCUUCCGGGCUGGCGAGGAUGAUGAGAAAAGAAUCGAUGAGCAUCACCACCGUGCAAGGAACCAGGGGAUACCUGGCCCCGCCCCAAGGCCGACGUCUAUAGCUUUGGGAUGCUCCUGCUGGAUACCUUGAGCGGCAAGAGGAAGGCCCUCAUGGAGCUGAAGCAAUACGAGAAUGCGCCACUGCCACCGCCUGGCGAGUGGUAUUUCCCGAUCUAUGCCUUCCAAAAGUACAUGACCUCGGAGCUGGAGAGCAUUGCCGAUCCAAACCUGGCGAGCGGCAGCGUGGAUUGGGAGCAAUUCGAGACGGCGCUCAAGAUCGCGCUGUGGUACCAGGAUCCAGGAUCUAGGCCAGCGAUGAGCCGCGUGGUGCAGAUCCUGGAGGGCAAAGCGGAGGCGCCGGCGCCGCCAUUUCCAGACGCUGGCG